UCUCCGUUGGUGAACCAGCGGAGGGAUCAUUACAGGAUCGAAAGACUCCUAUAACCCCUGUGAACAUACUACAAAUACGUUGCUUCGGCGGGUGCCCCGGGUCUCCCGGGGCGUUCAGCCCGCCGGCAGCCUUCAAAUUCUGUUUCUUUGCGUUGGCAUCUCGAGUAUACAAAAAUAAGUUAAAACUUUCAACAACGGAUCUCUUGGCUCUC
rnacentral:misc_RNA from 1 species